UACAGAGGUGGCAAGCGUUGUUCGGAAUUACUGGGCGUAAAGGGCGCGUAGGCGGCCUUUCUAAGUCAGACGUGAAAUCCCCCGGCUUAACCUGGGAACUGCGUCUGAUACUGGGAGGCUAGAGUGCGGGAGAGGGAUGCGGAAUUCCAGGUGUAGCGGUGAAAUGCGUAGAUAUCUGGAGGAACACCGGUGGCGAAGGCGGGUCUCUGGGCCGAUACUGACGCUGAGGAGCGAAAGC
rnacentral:rRNA from 1 species